AUGGCGCUGGAGGCCGUCGAGUUCUCGCAAGGCCACUUCGGCUACGGCCAGGCUCCGGGGCUCGGGCCCUGGUGCGACAUGGUAGGCGCCGGCGGGUUCUUUGAGGACUGCUGGGAUCAGCAGCUUUUGGCCGCCCCCGUGGCGCCCAAUGCGGAGGAUCAGUGGGAGCCGGUCUCCAGCUGGGACCAGUCUGAGGCGUCCUCGGAGGGCAAGGCGGCGGCGCCGGAGCCGGCCAUGGCAGCGGCGGCGACGGGGAGGAGGAAGCGGAGGCGCACCAAGAUCGUCAAGAACAAGGAGGAGGUGGAGAGCCAGCGGAGGACCCACAUUGCCGUGGAGCGCAACCGCCGCCGCCAGAUGAACGAGUACCUCGCCGCGCUCCGCUCACUCAUGCCACAAUCCUACGCUCAAAGGGGCGACCAAGCAUCCAUCGUUGGUGGGGCAAUCAACUACGUGAAGGAGCUGGAGCAGCUCCUCCAAUCGCUCGAAGUCCAAAAAAGCGUCAAGAACCGCACCGGCCGGUCCCCGUUCGCCAGCUCCUUCACCUUCCCACAGUACUCCACCUCGUGUAAUGCCACGCAGGCCACCGCCAGCGACGGCGGCUCCGGUGCCGAUUCGAGCGGCGACAAGAGCGAGGCGGGCGUGGCCGACAUCGAGGUGACCAUGGUGGAAGGCCACGCGAGCCUCAAGGUGCUGUCCCGGCGGCGGCCGAAGCAGCUCCUGAGGCUUGUCGCCGGGCUGCAGCAGCUGCGCAUCCCGCCGCUCCAUCUCAACGUGACCACCGUCGACGCCAUGGUCCUGUAUUCCUUCAGCCUUAAGGUGGAGGAUGGCUCCAAGCUGGGCUCUGUGGAAGAUAUUGCGGCCGCUGUGCAUGAGAUCCUGGCCAGGAUACAGCGGGAGGAGGAGGAGGCCGGUCGACUCAGCAGCUCGAGCUGA
rnacentral:rRNA from 1 species